AUGAAUGACAACUUGACGAGAUCUUGACACGCACGUACGUUGGAAGUGUACGCGUGUUUGCACCUCGAUGAGCGUUGCACAAUAACAAAGCUCCGUUGGUGAGCGUAUUGAUUAAUAAAGCUAGGUGAAGUACUUGAGUGCCUCAAGGACUUUGUUUUGUUUUAGCAGUAUUUUUUCCUUCAACAAUUAAUCUUGCAUCUCCAACCGUGGAAUGAGUUACAUGUGACUCGAGACAAACAAACAGUGCAAUUGCAACAAUAUAAUUAGUCAGCGGUAUGGUCACUAUCAGCAGCUUUACACACAGUGUGCAUCGUGAAUACAUCAAUCCCAGAGAAAACAUUCCAAUGGAAAAUAUUGAGAAUUUCUGCCCUUCUAUCCUGAACUAAACAAUGCUGGGAGAUUGGUUAUCUCUUCACAGAGAUGAGUCAUCCGCUCCUUGGACAACGCUGCGAUCGU